rnacentral:lncRNA from 1 species
CAGUUCAUCGUAAAAGAUUCCUUAUGUACUUGCUUAAUCUGGUACUAGCCGGUGUGCACACCCGAUGGGUGUGCUAUUGAAAUUUGACACCCCAAAAAUCAAAUUAAGGCUUUGAAUCAGAGAUUACGAGGUUAAAAUUUAAAUUUAAUCAGUUUAAUGUGAUCAACACCAAGGAUAAUUCUCCCUUUAUAUGAUCAUUAUGAUGUUUCAGUGUAUCAAAGGAGAGAAAUAACGUUUA